UAUUGUAGAAUGUAGAUUGGUAUCUGCAUUAUUAAAGUUCAUAGGACUUACUACUGACUCACUUUUCUUUUUUUAAUCAUUAGCCUUAUGCAGCUCUCAAAGCUAGAGAAUAUCUUGAUAAGCCUGCAAUACAUGAGACAAUGGUGAAGGUAUGUAGAUUAUAUCUUAUAUUUCCUACACAAAUAUAGACAACUGUAUGCUGAUGUCAUUAUGCAGGUUAGCGCUUAUCUGCUUGGAGAAUACAGCCAUCUUUUGGCCAGACGACCUAGGUGUAGCCCAAAGGACAUUUUUGUCAUUAUACAUGAGAAGCUUCCUACUGUAUCGACUCCAACAAUAUCCAUUCUUCUCUCAACAUACGCAAAGAUUUUGAUGCACUCUCAACCACCAGAUCCCGAAUUACAAAACCAGAUCUGGGCAAUAUUCAACAAGUGGGUUUAUAAUAAAUAGGAGCUACACUUUUUUUUUGUAUAUGCAAAAUUUGAUAAUAUUUAAUUUCACACACAUUGACAGAUAUGAAACAUGCAUUGAUACUGAGAUACAACAAAGAGCUGUGGAGUAUUUUGCAUUGAGUAGGAAAGGUGAAGCCCUGAUGGAUAUAUUAGUAGAAAUGCCAAAGUUCCCUGAACGUGAGGUAUAUUUAAGCGUAGGGUUUUAAUUGAUUGAUUGAUUGAGCAUAUAAUAAUAAUAAUAAUAAUAAUAAUAAUAAUAAUAAUAAUAAUAAUAAUAUUUUAUCUGAUAUGGUGAUUGUUGUUGACUUUGAUUUACCUUUCUGAAGUCUUCAUUGAUCAAGAAAGCAGAAGACACUGAAGCUGAUACUGCAGAGCUAAGUGCUAUCAAGUCACGCACACAACAGCAGGCUUCUAAUGCUUUAGAGGUGACAUCUGAGCGCGAACCUCCCCAACUUGGUAUGGUCAAAAUCCCAGCGUUGACCAUAACUCUGUGAGCGUUGACCAAGAGUUGACUCAAGCUAAUGGAAUUUCACAUGAAGUUGACCACCCUCAACCUGAUAUUCUUUGAGAUCUUUUAAGCCCACUGGCUAUUGAAGCACCUCCUCCUCCUGUAAGUGAAGAGGAUGCAUUAGCUCUUGCACCUGUUGAAGAGCAAGAUAAUAUUGUAAAGCCAAUAGGAGACACUGCAGAAAGAUUUCAUGCCCUGUGUCUUAAAGAUAGUGGAGUUCUAUAUGAAGAUCCUUAUGUUCAGAUUGGUAUCAAAGCAGACUGGCGAGGUCAUCAAGGUCGCCUAGUCAUCUUUUUGGGGAACAAAACAACUUCUUCACUCACUUCAGUUCAAGCAGUGGUUCUGCCUCCAUCUCAUUUAAAACUGGAACUCUCAUCAGCAAAGAACAAGCUUCAAAC